GCUGGAAUAGCUCAAUGGUAGAGCACCCGACUUGUAAUCGGACGGUUGAGGGUUCAAGUCCUUUUUCCAGCA
rnacentral:tRNA from 1 species